rnacentral:rRNA from 1 species
UGCAGAAUCCCGCGAACCAUCGAGUCUUUGAACGCAAGUUGCGCCUCAAGCCACUAGGUUGAGGGCACGUCUGCCUGGGCGUCACAU